rnacentral:rRNA from 1 species
GACGAACGCUGGCGGCGUGCCUAAUACAUGCAAGUUGAGCGAUGAAGAUUGGUGCUUGCACCAAUUUGCAGAGCAGCGAACGGGUGAGUAACGCGUGGGGAAUCUGCCUUUGAGCGGGGGACAACAUUUGGAAACGAAUGCUAAUACCGCAUAAUAACUUUAAACAUAAGUUUUAAGUUUGAAAGAUGCAAUUGCAUCACUCAAAGAUGAUCCCGCGUUGUAUUAGCUAGUUGGUGAGGUAAAGGCUCACCAAGGCGAUGAUACAUAGCCGACCUGAGAGGGUGAUCGGCCACAUUGGGACUGAGACACGGCCCAAACUCCUACGGGAGGCAGCAGUAGGGAAUCUUCGGCAAUGGACGAAAGUCUGACCGAGCAACGCCGCGUGAGUGAAGAAGGUUUUCGGAUCGUAAAACUCUGUUGGUAGAGAAGAACGUUGGUGAGAGUGGAAAGCUCAUCAAGUGACGGUAACUACACAGAAAGGGACGGCUAACUACGUG